rnacentral:rRNA from 1 species
AUAAACGCUGGCGGCGUGCCUAACACAUGCAAGUCGAGCGAGAAAGUUCCUUCGGGAGCGAGUACAGCGGCGGACGGGUGAGUAACGCGUGAGAAUCUGCCCUUCAGUGAAGAAUACCUCCGGGAAACCGGGGUUAAUGCUGCAUACGUCCCUUCGGGGAGAAAGAUGGCCUCUUUGCUGUCGCUGAGGGAUGAGCUUGCGUACUAUUAGCUAGUUGGUGGGGUAAUGGCCUACCAAGGCGAUGAUGGUUAACCGGCCUGAGAGGGUGUACGGUCACAUUGGAACUGAGAAACGGUCCAGACUCCUACGGGAGGCAGCAGUGAGGAAUCUUGCGCAAUGGGCGAAAGCCUGACGCAGCGACGCCGCGUGGAGGAUGAAGGUUUUAGGAUUGUAAACUCCUGUUAAGUGGGAAGAAAGAACCAUCCCUAAUACGGAUGGGAGAUGACUGUACCAUUAGAGAAAGCACCGGCUAACUUCGU